UUCCCUGUGUUGAGUUUUGGUUCCACUGUUACUGACAAGCACUGCAGGCUGAGACAAUCCAGCAGUGGGAGUCUGAGCUCAGGGAAAAAGAGAAAGGGAAGAGGAAAAAAGGCAUGGGGGAGGGGAGAGUUUUGGACCUUUUAAGAUGUCUGUGGAAAAUGAAUCAUGGGGGCCUGCACAGGGGGAGAUCCAGAGGAGAAACACAUCUGGAUAGGAAGAAUAAAGAAAAGAAUAGGAUUGAGAAAGAGCAGAAAAUGCAUUUCCUUUAGGACAGUUAAAAGGUGUAUAGGGUUUGUUUUUAAAAGUAUCUUGAAUGUGCAAACCCCAAGUGAGACGUCAUGUGCCUUUAUCAGAAUAAAGUAGUAAUGAAAAAGAAAGAUAAAAGAGGACAAGCAAAUAUAAGUUAAAGUAUACACAGUGACAGAUGAGUAGACAAUGGGAAAAAAGGAGACUGUGAAUUGUCAUCUGUGAGUGUUAUGCCCUGUUAUUCUAAACUGGAGACGUCCCUACCUAAACACUGACUUUUCUCCACAAUAGGCGGGCAGACGCAGGGAAAUGCAAUCCAACGUUGCCAGCUCUCAAUUGCUUUUGGUUGCUGGGGCUUGUCAUGAAGAUUUUUUUUUCUCUGUUCACUUUUAGAAAUUGGUUUGAGCCAUGAGCAGCAGACACCAUCUCAGGAGCCUGACUCGGCCACGUCAUCUCCAGAGGGUGUGGUGAACAAACGUGGAAGAGGAAAGACAGAAGGAAUAGAAGAA